GCAAAGCAUACUCGAAUCAGACACAUUCGCUUACUCACGCAUUCGAGGGAAUAUUCAGCAUGAUCAUCGCGGCCGGCGGUAAUUACGCUGGACAUACGCAAGCUUCACGAAGGUCACAGAUAGAAGACAGCCUCUAAGUUCCCGCCAGGGGUGUCACCACGCACCACCACGAAUCCAUUCCCAGUGUAACUAGGGCUGAAUUUGGACUGUUUAGUUACCCCGUGGUACAGACGGCCAUACACCCUCCCCCGUCUAUGCAGUCAGGAUCUAGUGCACUGGCCCUCGUGUGACUGCUAAGGCACCCCCCGCCCAUGCCGACCCUAGGCCGACACGAGUACAGCUCGUUCUUUAGAGAGGUUGCCACGCCCUCGGGCUGCACCUUUAUUUUGUGCCUGGAUACCCUCUUGCAACCAAGGGUUAGGAGGGGUCACAGGAUAGAAUGAAGGAGCUCAGAUUGAGAAAAAGGGCCAUGGAUGAGAACACGAGGUGAGCCGUUUCGGGGUCUCGAGUCUCAAACCACACUAUACCACCCGUCGUCGUCGUAGUUCCACACAUAGUGGGCCACGACUCCCAGGGUGGGUUGCCACCAGUGACAACAGGCAGAGGGCUCGCAUCAAAGCUGAAGAAGGUCCUCAGGCCCAAGACCCAGAGCUACAACCUGGUGACACACAUCAUUUCUGCAGCGUUCUGUGCCUCGACCCCAGCCCUUCCGGCGCCCGUCAAAGGCCACUGAAUUCGAACCCGAGAUCUUUACCUUACAGUCAUGAGCGCCAUGUCAACACCUAAACCGUCGCGACCACCGACACCCCUCAAGUGACUUCUCCAAACGAUAUCCACAUCACAAUUUUUAACAUCCUAGAAGUGUUUUAUUUAAAGACAUUUAUAAGGGAAGCCUUGAAAUUUUUGGUAUAUCAUAUAAUAAAUAAAUAUGUAAAUAAAGAAUAACAAUCCA